CAAAUGUUCCAAUGGUCGGGCA
rnacentral:miRNA from 1 species